AAAAGACCAAAACGAACGCGCAAUGAAAAGAGUUGUUUCCCUUGUAUUGUUUGCCACAAUAUUAGUUUUAAAAUCUGCAGUUUUGUGAUACCAACGGAAGAUAAUUUUACUGAAUUGAACAACAGUAAAAUUGUUCCGAUUUUUAGGUAUCCCGGUCCUUCCCUACGUGGUUUUUGGAAGAACAUUAGUAACCGAGGGAAAAAGAAACCAAAAAACAAGAAAAACAGCAGUGCCUAUGCAUAAUUUUAGGUUCAAUAACACCCAGAAAGUUCGCUACACCUUGAGGUACCUGGAUCGGUUGAACGGAAGAAUUAUGAUCUUCCGCUAGCACUGAAGAUCUCUAAAAUGUUCAAGAUAUAUAGAAAGAAGCCAUCUAAUGAAACUGAAGACAAUAGUGCGAAAGAAACCGUAAGAAGAUUAUGCUGAAUAUUAAACUUGAUGGUUUAAAAAGCGUUGAUGGAAAAAAAGACGAGCCACAUUGCCAGACAAAAGAUUAGCCACAUUGCUAGACAAGAAGUUAGCAACAUUGUCAUGUGUGCAGUGCAAACAAGCAUUGCAAAAGAGAGAAAAUUAAGACAAGUGUUCAAGAAGCAAUUCUGUAGUUCAGAUUUUACAUUUUCAUAGAUCCAAUGUGAUGAUUAAAAUGGAACGACUCUGGAGUGUAUCGAUCGCGAAUCUGACU